UGGGCCCGCGUUUCAUUAGCUUGUUGGUAGGGUAACGGCCUACCAAGGCGACGAUGGGUAGCCGGCCUUAGCGGGUGACCGGCCACACUGGGACUGAGAUACGGCCCAGACUCCUACGGGAGGCAGCAGUCGAGAGGCUUCCACAAUGGGGGAAACCCUGAUGGAGCGACGCCGCGUGGAUGAUGACGGCCUUCGGGUUGUAAAGUCCUUUCAGCAGGGACGAUAGAAAUGCGGGCCAAUACCUCGCGUUUUCAGACGGUACCUGCAGAAGAAGCUCCGGCUAACUCCGUGCCAGCAGCCGCGGUAAGACGGGGGGAGCAAGCGUUGUUCGGAUUUACUGGGCGUAAAGGGCGUCUAGGCGGAUUUGUAAGUCAGAUGUGAAAUCCUCCGGCUCAACCGGAGAACUGCAUUUGAUACUGCAAGUCUUGAGUUCGGAAGAGGGAAGCGGAAUUCCUGGUGUAGCGGUGAAAUGCGUAGAUAUCAGGAAGAACACCGGUGGCGAAGGCGGCUUCCUGGUCCGAUACUGACGCUGAAGCGCGAAAGUGUGGGGAGCAAACAGGAUUAGAUACCCUGGUAGUCCACACCGUAAACGAUGAACACUAGGUGCCGG
rnacentral:rRNA from 1 species